CCCUUAGAUGUCCGGGGCCGCACGCGCGCUACAAUGGAUGAAUCAACGCGUCAUCCUGGCCCGAAAGGGUUGGGGAACCGCUGAACCUCAUCCGUGGUUGGGAUUGGGGUUUGUAAUUAUUCCCCAUGAACUAGGAAUUCCCAGUAAGCGCGAGUCAUAAGCUCGCGUUGAUUACGUCCCUGCCCUUUGCACACACCGCCCGUCGCUACUACCGAUUGGAUGGUUUAGUGAGAUCCUCGGAUUGGUCACGGCACGGUGGCAACACUGCGUCGGUGUGCCGAGAAGACGAUCAAACUUGAUCAUCUAGAGGAAGUAAAAGUCGUAACA
rnacentral:rRNA from 1 species